rnacentral:rRNA from 2 species
CAAGGUUUCCGUAGGUGAACCUGCGGAAGGAUCAUUACAGUAUUCUUUUGCCAGCGCUUAAUUGCGCGGCGAAAAACCUUACACACUUGUUUUUCUUAUUUGAAACUAUUGCUUUGGUCUGUCUUAGAAAUAAGUUGGGCCAAAGGUUUACACCAAACUUCAAUAUUUAUAUUGAAUUGUUAUUUUAAUUAUUUGUCAAUUUGUUGAUUAAAUUCAAAAAUCUUCAAAACUUUCAACAACGGAUCUCUUGGUUCUCGCAUCGAUGAAGAACGCAGCGAAAUGCGAUAAGUAAUAUGAAUUGCAGAUUUUCGUGAAUCAUCGAAUCUUUGAACGCACAUUGCGCCCUUUGGUAUUCCAAAGGGCAUGCCUGUUUGAGCGUCAUUUCUCUCUCAAAUCUUCGGAUUUGGUUUUGAGUGAUACUCUUAGUCAGACUAAGCGUUUGCUUGAAAUGUAUUGGCAUGAGUGGUACUAGAUAGUGCUGAACUGUUUCAAUGUAUUAGGUUUAUCCAACUCGUUGACCAGUAAAGUAUUUGUUUAUUACACAGGCUCGGCCUUACAACAACAAACAAAGUUUGACCUCAAAUCAGGUAGGACUACCCGCUGAACUUAAGCAUAUCAA